CCUGGCGGAGGUGCCAGACUGUUUCCAAGUUGAGUCUUCCUUCCUCUUCCUUUUAAGCCUCUUGAAGAAUAGAUUGUUAUAAUUUGUGAAUAAUCAUAUGGUGACUAUGCGGAUAUAAAAGGUCUUUGCCAGGCUGAGUCCAUUUACAACUUGUGAGCAAAUAAAUUAAUUAGUGGGAAACACUAAUAUACUAAGUGCAUGCAAAGACUAUUGGCUAGAGUCUUAUUCCACUCUGCAGCCUCCACAGGGAGAUCCAGCUCCAGCUGACGUAGACUAAUGGGCUGCGGGUCAGAUUGUUCCUUAGAUACACUGGCUCCCGCUCCCUCAUUUGGUGUCUGGUAUGUCUGACAUAACUCCAGGUUUCAAAGGUCAAGGUGACAAGCGAUUUUAUCAGUUUUUAUGGCAAUGUCUGUACUGCUGUACGGGAAAGACCCGCAAGGCUGGGCUGAAGGCCAAAUUGCAUGUUUUGGCUUGCACGAGUGCUCCGGGGGUUGGUGAUGGGGUGGCCCUGGCUGGUGCUCCCCAGGCAGGGGGUCUCCAAGGGCAGCCUACAUGUCACGGUCGCCUCAGCAGCGUGCUGGGACCAGGUCUUCUGCUCGUGCCCGGUCUCGUCAGCUUCGUCUAGCCGUCCUGGUGUUGCACGGGCACCACGCAGCUUCCCCGGAUGCGUGCAGGAGGCCUUGGAGGGCAGCGGGUGCUGGGUGCACUGAGGUCCAGCCUUGCCAGUCCCCAUGCAACCAUGAGGAACGCUUCCUCUGACCAUUCCUCCAGUCUGCUCCUUACCUCCCUCUCUUCCUCUCCGUAGGCAAGAUGACAGAAAGACUUUUGAGGGAAGGAUCUGAAAGAAGCAAAGCUACUCUUCACUAAUCCAUUGCAGUUGACACCACAGCUGGGAUGAAGAGAAUGACAACAAGGGGCACGAAAGGACUGUAGUGGAUGGAGUCUCCUAAAAGUCUCCGCUGAGAGACUGCUCUCUCCUGGGUCUGGAGAUGAUCAAACCAAGAUGACCCAGCGACAGGCCGCAACGCUCAGCUGAGGACUCAGCCAAGGUGUUGAAAAGGUAAGUGACUGUGAUGAGCUGUGUUAGGGAAACAACAUGUACAGCAGAGUUUGAGAAUCUGAAGAGCUUAUGAGAGCAAUUAAAGGCAAAAGAGGCGUGGGUACAGUGUCAGCCUAAAUAUUCCCCAGCUGUGAUCACCACAUCACCAGACAGCAGUUGUUUUCCAGACCGUCAGAUGCAGAGAGCCGUUCCCCCGAGCUUCCUUGGUUCCCAGGACUGUCUUGCUUUUUUUGGCUUUUGGGACUUCACUUACCCCACUGCACCUGACGGUGCUCAGAGCUGGCUGUCGCUGCCCGGAUUCCUUCACCCUCCCUGGCGCUGCCCGUCCUGACCUCUAGAAUUCAUUGUUAUCAUGCUGGGAAACACCCCUGGCUUUGAUAUUUCUGAUGAGCCAAACAUUAUGGUUACAAUUUUAAAAAUCUCUUCUUUGAAAUCUAGUGACUGGUGGGAAAAUUCUGUACAGAAAGUAGAUAAGCCUGGUAGAGGUGUAUGUACGGCUUCUGAUUUUUUUUUUUUUGAGAAGUUAUAUUAAUAGCUUCCAUUAGAAAAAUACCCUCAUGCAAGCGUUAUUGAUCCGAAGCAAACAUAUGGGCUGGACCAUGGAGAAGCUUUGCCUGUCUUUGCUCGCCUUGCUCCCCCUUUCCUCUGCUUGCUUGUCCAGUGUGGACUGCAGCCCUCGCUUCCUUCUGAACAAACCUGCAGCACUGAGAACGCAGGGUUAGGUGGGUUUCUAGCUACUAUUAGCAUGUAAAUAAUAAAUGUAAUGAAAAGACAUUACAAAAAGACAUUUUCAUAUACAGCAGAGCUAUUUUGAUGAUUUCUAAUAACGUAUAUGGAGCUCUCCAAUUCAGAUACCAGUUAAUUAAUUAUACUCAUUUUAUAUACUCAUAUACUUCGUUUUAUCUAAUGCAAACCAUGGUACAAACAAUGGAGAUGAGGCUGGGACUGAGCAGCCCUCACUGGAGACCAAAUAUGGAACAGCAGAUGCUAGAGACUUUGGGACAAUUGCUAUCAGAAGCUGGCUUGUAGCUACAGAAGAAUGCAUUCCACGCCUGAGAUGCCCUUAACUAUCCAGAAUUGCUCUGUAAAGCACAAAAGUACCCUGAGACCAGAGCGCACGGAAGUUUCUGCUAAAUUCAUCUGCUGCGGAGAAAGAUUCAUUGAUGGACACCUGAUCCUAGCACGGCUAACAUCUUCAAAGGUCUGUCAGAGCCAAGGAGAGCCAUCACAGCCACAUCCGCUGCAAGGUGACACAAAGCACCCCGCUAUGGGACAGCCUGUAGCAUUUUUGGGAACGUGCCAUCAUGGCAUUUCCCUGUAGGAGUGCCUCCUCCAGCUCAUAAGAAGGGAAGAGAUGCUCUUUUCCGGAUGAGCAGCAGACAAAAAGUGAUCAAAAUCACACUCCAAAAAUGCUAGUAUGGAGAAGGAGGGGAGAAAGCCCUCGUUUCCCUGGGGAACACACCAGCAGCUCUCCGAAGAGUCGGUGUGAUAUACCAGCACGCGAGCGAGUGGGUGUGCGUAGGAUUCGGCGUUGCACAAGAAGUGAGUGAAUUCCUGUCUGAACCUCUACCCAAAAAGCCUCAGAUAUGUGUUUGGUCAGAUGUUAAGCAGAACAAGUAAGCGAACAGAUGACUUCUCGUUUCUGACUCCAUCAUUUGUUCUAAAUCCCUUAACAGAGGGCACCAGGGCAAAUUAAAAAUAGGGACUAUUGCUGACAGAUACUGUGGCAUGUGCAGUGCUGUCCCUGCGAUUUCCCAGAACGAGCUGUCAUUUGUAUUCUCUCUGUGCCAGUAAUGUAUAUGGCUUCAUUACUAAGUGGCUGACCUUUACCGAGCAGAUUGUCAGAAGCAAAAGGUUUCAGCUUGACGAUUCCUGGCUCCUGAAAGGCUACAUAGUGCCUUGCUGCAUUCCUGAGAGAGAGGCAAGCUGCAAACGCAUCCCUCAGAAAUCCUACUUCUUAUUCUGAAGGCAGGUACCAGGGUGCUUGCAAACUUUUCUCUCCUGAUGCCUGAGACUGACAAAUAGUGGCUGGUUCGUUUGAAUGCACAAUUAUUAAUACCCUGGCUGGCUGUUAGGUUGCCCCAGCAAAGGGAUGGGAUGCUAAUGGGAUUUGUUUUAAAAGAUUAAUUUUUAAUAGGAAUUUGGCAUUUGAUGCCGUCAUAUUAAUUUUCAGAAUAACGCACUGUGACAAGCCUGCAUGAAUUUUACAAUAAUUCUUCCACCAUAGGCCCUCCCUAUCCUUUUAUAGCCAUGUUAGUCAGACACAACUUCUGAACAAUAAACAAAUAAUAUCUGAUAUUGUGUGGCAGCAGGAAUUUAACAAGCUAGCCUGUCUUAGCCCAUAGGGAUAUGUCAGCCAGCAAAGGGCUGAUUGAUGUCUCAGAUUCAGGCUUGAUCUCUUAAACAAGCAAAAAUAUUAACCUUGAAUCCAGGAGAUAUGGAGUAUGUCAUUUAAAAUAAACUUUAAAACAAAUCUAUUUGUUAAAGUCCAUUUUCAAGAAUUUAGCAGGGAGGUGAGAAAAUUUUCCACCAUUGAGCAGACUUGCUGCAGCAUGAUGCAAGCUUGUAGCAAUGCUAACAAAGGCAAUAUCACCUGUUUCACAAGCAGGUGUAUCACAACCACUGUCUGGAAAAAAAUAUUUUGAAGGGUAUCGUUUGGGGCUGCUUUGGCUGGUAUGAAUACCUAGAGCAGUGUAGCGCAGGUUUAGCGAUGAAUAACAGUGGGCAAACUUGUCGGCUUGGUGCAUUUGAGAGCAGGCGGUGAGGAGAGAACAGCCCUGUGCUGCCCAGGUUGGGGGGGGGGGUCAGCCCCAGCAGCCGUGCUCACCCCCGCCACACGGGACGGCCAGUGGAAGAACUGGCAUCCAUCUUCAGCCAAAAAAAAUCUCCCCUCAAACAAUCCAAAAAACCUUCAAAAGGAAACCAAGGAAUUAUUGAUACUAAGAGAAGUGAACCAAGAUGCUUGCAAAGAUGAAACAAGUGAUUUCUCCUAUCCCAGAGAAUCAGAAAAGCUUUAGGUUGGGUCAUGUCUGCUUAUUGUCCAUAAAGAAAACCUGAGAUCAUGCCUUAUGCACCAUGCCCAGUUACCAGGGAAGGACUGCCAGGAGUUUCAGAGAUGUGCCUUUGCUCAGUCUGGAGGGCUGAGCUUCCCGUUUCACUGCAAUUAUCUGCUGCGAAGACGAACAUCAUAAGGCCUUAGAUUUUGGCUGUGGGAAGUUAUCUUAAUUGCUGAGUUGUUUGGCUUAAGAAUGUAUUCCUUUCUGGAGUGCUGCUAUAGGUGAGACAGGCUUGCAGAAGAGCAAAGUGCAGAAGUUUCAGGUCAGCGUGUCCCAUUAUUGCCAAGUUAGAAAGCCUAGAAAAUAAUGGGUUUCAGAAGAACACUGGUUUAACCUUAACUACAGAUGUGUUGCCAUAAUUGCGGAUGUUGUUUAUUUGCAGAGCCAAAUCUGUUUUGUGACUUUUUUCUCUGCUUGAAUUAAUGAAAGAACCCAGCAGCCCUGUUGACUGAGCAAAUCAGCAGUCAGUUAAGUGCAUCCUGUCAGCAGAAGGUAAUUUUAAUGCUACGCCAGUGGUCUCUCACUAAUUAAAAAACAUUUAUUAUCUGUUUUUGGGACCCUUUCCAAGAAUGAAAAUGCGGUUCCAAAAGGUUUUCAGAGCAGACUGCCUUCAGCAGCCUAGUGCUGCACUUUAGGCCAACAAAAGAAAGAACGAGGUGGGGGUGAUGAAGAGAAGUAUGAGGAGGAACAAAAAAAUGUGUUGAAAACCUCAGAUUAGUCUCAGCACUGGAGGAGAAACAAAUCAAUGUCAGGAAUUAGAGAAAGAAAUGACAAGGAGAGAAAAGAAAAAGGAACAGAACAAACCCGAAAAAGACAAAACCGGACUGAUUGGGAGGGAGGGUAUCAACAGUCGGUUGAGUGACUGGUAGAUAAUGAAGUAGAUAGACGCAAACCCAGGAGGAGAGGGUCUGGAGAUGCCAUCACUGGUGUCACUGGUGCUGCCAGUAUGUGCUUUUCUCUAAGCAAAGGCUGGAGAACAUUUGUCGGGGUGACCUUGGUAUGCUGGAUCCUGUUUCGGUGUGGAGAUGGUGGGAUGAGCCCUGGAGGUCUCUCCUCACUCAAUUCGUGGCCAGGCCUCCUCAGGUCCCCACCGGCUGGUUGCCUCCCACGCCUCCCAGGCUGCUCAGGAACUGCGGCUGUGUUCAGCCACGGAUAUCAGGGUGGACACGUCAUGGGUGAGACCUUCUCACAAGUCUCUUGCCAGCCAACACAGUGGGCAGCCAGCUGAGGGAAACGCUGAGAGACCAGUUCUGCUUGGCCUGCCAGCUGGCCAACGUCACGUAUAUACCGGCCAGCACGUGCAGAGCUCAGGUCCAGCUGCGGCCAGUGCUGCUGAUGUCCAGCUGUGUUUGUUCAAUGGGCAGAUACCCGGUAAACACAUCUUUCCUCCGGGAACUCGGGAGGAACUCCCUGGUACUUCCAUGAUAAGUACAGCUAACAGUACAACAGCUGUCAGUAAAACGUCAUCAGUGUGUGUGCGAGCCAGGGACUUCAGGUAAGUGCUUUGAAACCCGAAACAGCAGUCCUCAGCUCUGUCUCCGAAAUGUUGCUGAGAGGUGGAGGAAGGGGAGCUCUUGGUCCCAGCCGCUGCUUUCUCUGGCCAAGCAGCGUCUCUGCAAGUCUCCAGGCUGCUUCUGCACAGUGCUGCUCUCAAAGGUUUCUUUUGCCGUGUUUUAGCUUCUCCCUUUCUUUUUGCAGGGAGGAGAGCAGGAAGCAGAGGGUGUGGGGUGGUUGGCAGUGACAGUGACUGAUCUGUGGUUGUUCCUCAGUGGUGUUUUCAGUGGCACACUCUAGCAAGCCACCGCUCUACCCGCUUCCAUCACUGUCAUUUUUCCUUCAAGACAAAGGUUUAUCAAUAUCGCAGUAAAGCAUUAGCUUUCCAAAGAGCGGCUGCAACUGGACAUGGCUUUGCUCGCUGAGCAGAGAAGCUUUUGUGGGGUCCGUCUGCUCUGUGUGGACCUCAUGUCUUCUCCUAUCACCGCAGGAGAUGCAAGCCUGCAUUUAGCCAUAGUUUCUGAUUUAAGUUUAGCUCCCAGCAGAAUAAAGACCUGCUUCUCUUUUAUAGGAGAUAUCAGGCAGGAGAUUUGAGGACAGAGGGAGGAAAAUGAAACAGCUCUUCACAUUGUUUCUGAAGAAAGAAAAUAAAGCAACACAGUAGAAUCUCAGAUUUUCUUGCUGCUUGAUGCUACACCUACAGGAUUCAGAGGAAAAUCUACCAGGGACUUCCACAGAACCAGAUUAAGCACUGAUGUAGGCACUUUGCAUAUGAUAUUGUCCGAUACCCUGUCAAGUGGCCACAAGGCUGGACCAUAUUUGGUAGCACAAGGUUUGUAGGUAGAAAAAAAUCUUUUAUUGAGGAUCUGAUAUUAGUGGAAAAUUAGGAAAGCUUCUCAGUAUCCAAGCACUUGUGAGUAGGAACAGCAGGUUUCAAAGCUAAAUAGAAGUUGAGAACAGUUGUCAAGAGCUUAAUUGGAUAUGUGUCUCUUAGCCCAUUUUAGAAAGACUAGCAGGUGUUGUACUCAUGAAUGCUUGGAGAGUUGUCCCUCUCUUCCUUUAAGGCAGGACUGGAGGUGAAGGGAUUGCUCUGCAAGCAUUUUGUGCUGAGCUGCUGAGAGUAUCUGGAAAGGGUAUCUGGAAAGCCUGUUACUGAAAGUCCUGUUUCAUUUACCCUGUCUCCUGUGGAUCUCCAUGGCUGGGAACGCUCUAAAACAGGAGGUGCGUAUCCGUGUCCCAGGUACUUCCACCGGUACGGGUCAGACUCCUGCAACCUUCUUGCCUACCGUUGGCUGGAAGGGUCAGACAAGAAGUGGGAUGUAAACUUUGAUUUCCCCUGAACUCCAGCUGCCUCCAAGCAGCCCAGCUAACCCAGGGCAGGAUAUUCCAGUUAAUUAGACCAGCACAGUGCGGUGCUUUGCAUGACUCACUGGGAGCAGUUAGUGGCUGCCAGCUCAAGGCAGUGUGGGCAGCUGCUUCCUCCCUGGGAUGAGGCGGGAGCUGCGCUGGGAGAUGCGGGGCUUGGCACACGCGGGGAGCUGCGUUUGGGGCCUGCAGCCCUGAAAUGGCAGGAUAUUUCACACCUUCCAACUUUCACCUGCUCGUUUGCAACUUUGAGUGCAAUCUUUUUUUCCCCUUUUUAAGUCAAAUUUGUUCUACUUUCAGGUCUUGCAGCAGAAGAGCCAAAUGAGUGAAGCCCAUGCAAACCCUGCUCAGAGCAAACAAGCCUCGUUCGUUAUUCCAAACACUCUCACUGAACAAAUGCUGCUGGAGCCUCAGAGGCCCUGCUGCGGGGUCUGGCUGCCUGGGAGCUGUAGACAGAUGUAAAGAGCCCUCCAGGAUCCUCUCGUCUCAAUGCCCAGGUGUUUCUCACUCUCUUUACCAGGAUUUACUCCAGGACAACACUCUGGGCCUUUUACUUCUUAUUUCUCAGACCUAAUGCAAAAUGAGCUCUGACAUAAAUUCACAUCUUCUCCAUCCUUCUUCUUGUUGCUAUAACCCCUGUGAUCUUUGUGGACAGGGAAGAUGGUGUUGUGAAUCCAUCCCUAUCACAACAGAAUGAGUUUCCACAGUCUUUCACUGCUGCGGAAGCAGCCUCAGGAAUCCCUUAGGAUUCCCAGUAUUGCAGAGGCUGGAUGCAUUUUUCUUCUGAUUCUGUACCAUGGCUAUGGCAGCAUCCAAAGAGGACAGCUCUUCAAACAGCGGGAAUCCAGGUUUAACACUUGCUGAAGCUGGGAUCAAGUGGGCUCCCUCUCAUGUUGGUGUCUGAGCUGUCAGCUUUGUCACCUGCCCCAGCGUCCAGGAGUGCUGGCAGUAGGAUAAUCUCCAGUCGGAGGAUGCCUUUCAAACUCCUGCCCUCAACAGGAUCAGGGCAGCGGUUCAAGAACAUUUCCUACUGCUGCCUUUCCAAAGGCAAAUGAGUCUCCAGGCCAGCCUGCUGACAGCUCUUUUGGCUAGGCAAGCUGCUGGGAUCCUUGAGUCCAGCUCCCGCGUUUUGCAGGGCUAUGUCAGCUGGCAACACAAAGCCCAAACGUGUUGCAUGGAGAGACCUCACAGUGAGAAAGGAAAGCGGGGGGGAAUCUCCCUUACAUGUGUUGCUCACGCUGGGAGUGUGUAAUCCGCAGCUGAUGCGAAUUCUGUAGGGAAAUGCAGUGCCUUUUUUUAGAAUGAUAAUUCUGGGAAAAGACAUGGUUUUGGGUAGAACAUCUAUUCCUCAGGACACUUACAAACUUAGCAUUAUGCUGUUAUGACUAUACCACCAUUACAGGUCUCAUUCCCACGUAAGUAUAAUCCAUGUAAUUAUUUGUUUCCCUCUUUAUAGUAUUUAUCUGAACUGCAAGUUCCUAUCUGUUUCAGCUACUAGCAAGCAAAUCGCUCUAAUGUUGGAUUAGUGAAGAAGCCAUUGAGAAGGAAAUACAGAGAUCCACUUAGCUCCAUUUUAACCUUUUAUGGGAUUGUCAUAAUUCUGAUUUCUGUUGCAGGGUUGUUGGGAUCCAUGUAAAGUGUCUUCUAAGAGACUUACCCAGUGUCUGCACUGAAUGUCCUACAAGGCAAAGGUUGCUGGAAUUUAUCUUCCUUCCCUUUUAUUCUGCAGUGAGAACAGUCCUCAGCAAAUGAAGUCCUGCAGAGUAGAGACAGCAAAAUGAUUUCUGCAAGGAGUACUCUAACCCGGUGCUAAUUGUACUCAUGCAUUUUCCAGAGAAAGGUGCAAUACCUCCUGCUGUAGAGCACACAGCUUGGACAGGGCUGAGCUGGAGGAUGUCUGUCCCUAGGCUGAGCUGCAUCGGGACCCACCAGCUUGGCCUUUCCCUUGGCUCCAGCAAGAUGUCCUACCAGCCUCAGUUCUGUAUGCAUCUUUAGAUCAUGUGUAUCCCACCUGAGCUGGAUUGAGCAUUACAUUUAUUUCUCCAGCCUUUUAUAGAUAUCCAAAAAAAAGAACAAGGCAUGGUAUUCAACCCUUCCUUUUCUCUUUGCCCAGUGGUUACAGGACUAGCUAGGAAGCAGAGUAAGUUUCCCCAAUUUCAAGCUGAUAUGAUUCAAACCUACACGUCCCUUGCAAGAGGGGACCACUCUGCUGGGACUGGAUGACUUUAGUGCUACCCGCUCUGGGAUACUCACAAGAGCACCAGAAAAACGCAAAGACCAGGAAGAAACAAGUUAAAAACUGAGUAGAAGUGGAAAAGAAAUGUAAAUCGCUCAGGUUUAAGUCAGAAGGAUUAGCAGGAAGGUACAGUCUAAAAGGGAUGGAGUAUCCAGAGAAAGAGCAGCAGAAAAGCUUGAGGAUGCUUCUCCGUGCUCAACAAAAAAUGACUGCUACAAGGGACACCUACAAGACUGCUAUUUGAAAUGGGAAGUCUGAAUAAGAUAAUACUGUAGCAGUUAGGAUAAUCUAACGCCACAGAGGAAACAGCACUAAAAAAAACUUAAAAGACUCCUGAUGCCUGGCAAAUUAAAGUUUUCUUCAACCUUAUUCUUGAAAUCCCAAGUCCUAAGACCCAGGAACAGCAUUAAUCAAAGGUGUAGCCAAAGGCAGAGAUCCAGGAAUUACAACUGCCUUCAUGAGCCUCUGUGCUAGAAGGGAUUAAAGAAAAAUGAGUUUACGGGAGGGACUGUGGUGUUAGCACAUAGCAUCCCAAGAAGCAAUUUGUCAGUAUAUAUCACCUCUAUGUGAUCAAGGCAGAAGGAAGAGAAAGGCCUAGGCAACACCCUUCUUAUAUACAUGGCUGCAGUGAUUUUCUAUGCCAAUUAAUGCCAGCUAAGAAUAUAUCCCUAGAGGCCACACAGCAAGCACUAUAGCCAAAAUUUCCUAGGUUGACAUUACAGACAUGUUUGCAGAUGCGCAGUUUCAGCCCUAUUCAUUUACUUCUGUUUCUUUUAUUAAAAAUCCACAGUGGGAAAGAAACUGGUGUGUCUUCCUGGCACUGGUAAUCUAUGUUGAAGGAAUACCCGUCUGUUUCAGCAAGCCAAAUCUAUUAUCUACCUUGCUAUGUAUUUUCAGUUAUGUUCUGCAUGGAAUAUAACAGAUGACUGCUUUGCUUAUUUUUCUUAACUAGCCAUUCCUUUGCAGAUCAAAUGACAAGCAGCCCUGUAACUUUCUGACAUGGCAAGAUGAUAAAAGACCUGCAGAAGUGUCAUGCAGUCUCUGCUGUGAAAUCUGUCAAUUUGAGACAUUCCGUCCUGGUCCUGGCAGUGAUGAUUUUUGAUGCCCUGUUAAAAUGCACUUCUAUUUUUGCUCUGACAGAAAGCCUGCAGCCUCUCAAGCCUGUGUCAGUGGCGUCCUGAGCUUAUCCCAUACUUGGGGUGCGUUUCUUCAGGCAGGUAAGUCAGCUGUGCAAGAGGUGCACCCAUCAGCAGCAACAUUUUCAAUGUCAAAUGACAUCUUCCAGCCACAUCAGGUGGAUGAUCAGGUGGAUCAGCUUGGAGAAAGGUCACAAAGGUUUCCCUCAAGCACGGACAAACAAUCUUGCCCCUUUCUCCUCCUGUCAAGCUCCUGCUGUCUUCAGGUAUGGCUCCAGUUUGAGGAACUAUCAUGCUGAAAGGUGGCACUUUCAGAAAAGGUGAGUGAAAACAACUGCUGGUUGAACUUCCAUUGGCAUUAACGUUCAGCGUAAUUGUGCUACCUGGCUGCAGGCCAGUCCAGGUCGGCACGUGCCCGCUCUGUUUAAGCCAGUGACUCUCAAUUCGUAGUCUAAGGUAAGUCGAACCCUGGAACCAGAUGGCCUUUAUGGUGCUUUCAGUUCAAAGUCUGAUGAUAAGAGUGUGUUGUGGUUAAUGAUAAAUUUUAUGUUCCUCAUUCAAAGAAUGUGGGAACUGCUAAGGUAAACCUUAGUAUACGGCUGGGAGUGGAGCAAAACAAAACAUCAAGGAGAUCCAUCCCUGCAGCUCCUUUGUCCUCCAGGGGCCGAGCACAAGGCUGCUUUCCUCCGGCAGUGUGGUGAUCCAGCAGGACUGAUCCAGCACCCUUUGCUGAGAAGCUCUUGCCUGGGAAUGGGAGGAAGGGCUGGGUAAUACCCAAGUUACAACCCAGCGGUGAAACCAUAUCACAUAAUAUCUAUGAAUAAAGCACUGUUCUUCCAAAUCACUUUAUAAAACAAAUCAUCCAGAUGGCUGUAACUGAAGAUCUAGUUGUCAAGCUGAGUAAAGCGUAUUUUGAGUGCAUUAACCAAGAAACAUGCAUAAUUGUGCUAAAUUAUGCGUAAUGCAACUCAAACAGAUAUACACUCCGAGGCAGGAAUAUCGCAAGUGUUAGACACCAGCAGCUCAUACUGUCAGUCUUUUAUUAGUCUUCGGGUCAGUUCUGAGAUUUAUGUAAGGGUGUAAAACACGUAGUUUGUGUAUAGAGAGGAAGAAUGUUUUUUCUCUCCUACAGCUUUAUAGGGACUGAAAUCUCUCAAAAAUUAACAGGAGGUAUUCAAAGCUAAGUGGCCAAGUGAAGAUAAACAUUCUCUCUCUGACUCUCUCUUGUUUCUUUUUGACAGGAGGUGGAAAGGACAGAUUUUGUCAGAGUCGAUGAGAACAAGAAACUGCUGAACUUCCUUAUUUGGGACAACUCAGCUUUUCUACUGUGAAUCCCCAAUUAAGAUUGAAGAAAGUGUUGCGGAUUUGUCAUCCUAUUAAAUCUGUAUCACUACCGUCUUUCAUCCUGCUCUCAGCGGAUUCUCUCAUUACCGACAAUGCGUCUCUGUAUCACCGAAGAUCUAAAUGUCAUUAAUGAGGUUAUGCUGGAUUUUGCGCAGGAGAGGUGCACUCGACUCCUUAUCUAUAGCCUGACUCUUAAAUUGCAUCUAGUAGCACGAAGCUCAUUGGUUUAAGCUGUCAUAAUGCUAAUCUUUCUGACUCAUCUAUGUAAG